rnacentral:rRNA from 1 species
AUGUUAGAGGAUCACAAGAAAUUGUUGUACCCGAAUUGCGAAGCUGACAAAAAAAAGUUGGGCACCACACUUAAAUUGCUGCAAUGGAAGGCAGAGAAUGGUGUAUCUGACAAGGGAUUUGGAAAGUUGCUGGUAAUGAUAAAGAAUAUGCUUCCAAAGGACAACGAAUUGCCCGAGAGUACGUAUGAAGAAAAGAAGGCUGUCUGCACUCUAGGGUUAGAGGUGCAAAAGAUACAUGCAUGCCCUAAUGACUGCAUCCUCUACCGCGGUGAGUACGAGGAUUUGAACGCUUGCCCGGUAUGCGGUGCAUUGCGUUAUAAGAUCAGUCGCGAUGACCCUGGUGAUGUCAAGGGUGAGCGCCCCAGGAAGAAGAUUCCUGCCAAGGUGAUGUGA